UACGGAGGGGGGCUAGCGUUGUUCGGAAUUACUGGGCGUAAAGCGCACGUAGGCGGCUUUGUAAGUUAGAGGUGAAAGCCCGGGGCUCAACUCCGGAAUUGCCUUUAAGACUGCAUCGCUAGAAUUGUGGAGAGGUAAGUGGAAUUCCGAGUGUAGAGGUGAAAUUCGUAGAUAUUCGGAAGAACACCAGUGGCGAAGGCGACUUACUGGACACAUAUUGACGCUGAGGUGCGAAAGCGUGGG
rnacentral:rRNA from 1 species